GUCAGUUUCACUACAAGAAUAUUUGACUAGUGACAAAUAGCGAGUCCUCGUAGGAACCUUGGCCUUGGAUGAAUUGUCUCCCUCCAACCUGAAGCAAAAUUCUCCCAGAACAGAUUCACACAAGUCAUGCAUGAGGUCAUGCAUAAUGAAAACUUGCCCACACAAAUUUUCUGGUUGGAAAAAUGAUCUUGAUACAAGAUAAUCAAAGUAUUCACUGCCAACUUCGUGCACUUCUUU
rnacentral:misc_RNA from 1 species